CACCGGUGAUUAGUCCUGACACAGUUCGGUACACUCUUGAACUCACUCCCGUAGAUAUCCAAACGCUUCGGGAGAGGCUCAAGAGAGAGUCAUCAUCCUCCUCUUCCUCGUCAAAGCAGCUUCGUUUGUCUGACGUUUGUGAUAAUAUAUUCAUAUGCGUUAACUUGCGUGAUUAGAGCUCGAGGUGGAGAUCCCAAUAGACCUGUCGGGUGUGUGUUUGCUGCGGAUUGUCGAAAUAUAGUCACUCCACCGAUCCCAUCGAGUUAUUUUGGUAAUUGCGCCAUUGGUAUCGGUAGAAUUCCAUUAACUGCAGAUACGUUUAUGGGUGAAGAAGGGUUUUUGGCUUCUACAAGGUUGGUGAGCGACUUGGUUGAGGGAUUGGACGAGGGUGUGGUGUGGAAGAUCCCAGAUUUUGUAGAGUUAUCUAGAAGUCUUCCAAAAGAAGCACAGUUUCUAUCUGUUUCGGGUUCGACCCAGUUUGGAGUAUACGGGUUGGAUUUCGGGUGGGGAAAACCAGAGAAAGUGGUGGGUGUGUUGAUUGAUCAAGGCGAAGCGAUUUCCUUGGCGGAGAAUAGAGAUGGAAAUGGCGGUGUGGAGGUUGGCUUCUCUCUCAAGAAACAUGAAAUGGAUGCUCUCAUUGAUUUGCUCCAUAACGGACUAAAAGUUUGACCACUCCUUUCCUCAAAAUAAAAUUCUCAAAGCAUCUCCAGUGGUGGCUCGUGCUUCGGCUUUUGGCUUGGGUCUCGUCUACGGGAACAUAAAGCUCAAGGUCUUGAAGCAAUGUACCGUGGAACUGUAAAAAAGGUAUCACUGCAAGGUAUUAAACUGGUAUUGGUGGAUUUCCAAUAAAAUCCGAAAGCUGCACAUGAAUGAAUUAUAGAAACUCAGAGAAGCAAUAAAUUGAUUCAACAUCCGAGAGCAACAACAAGCUUGUACUCAGCACCAACAAGCCAAGAGCAACUUCAACUUCAAUCCUCAUGUCAUGGUUCGUGCUUGUACUCGGUUCGUGGUUCAAGCAUGUACUCAGGUUUUUUUUUUCUUUCAACUUUAGUGCUCAUGUCAUGAUUCUUUUUCAUGUUUUGCUUGUAAAACAAUAUUUUCAAAUAUAAGAUACCCAAAGUUAGAACCUA